AAUAAACAGCCUUGUUGCUCACACAAAGCCUGUUUAGGGGUCUCUUCACAUGGACAUGUGGGACAUUUGGUGCUGAAAACCCUGGUCAGUGGGACUCCUUCGGGAGACCCUGUCCUCACUCUCACUCGGUGAAGAGAUCCACCUACGACCUCGGGUCCUCAGACCAACCAGCCCAAGGAACAUCUCACCGAUUUUAAAUCGGAUCUUCUCAGCUUAGCGGCUGAAGACUGACACUGCCCGAUCGCCUCAGAAGCCUACAGGACCAUCAGAGACAUUUUGGGUGACUCUUACAGUGGAGGGUAUGAUACAAGUGGAUAUAAAAUCAUGUUGCUAGAAUUCUCCAUGAAGGUCACAGGCACCUGGGGAGAGUGACACACCCUGCCUUGUACCUGAAGGCCUGGUUCUGAAGCCAAGGGAGCUGCCGUAACCAGGAUCUGGUCUCACAUCAAUCUGGAGAGUGGUUGCCACUUCUUGGCUUUAGAGAACCCCCAACUUAUGUGGCCAGCGGCCCCCCAUCAUCAUGGGAUCAUUGUGCUCAGUACGGGGUUUCACCAUAUUGGCCAAGCUGGUCUCUAACUCCUGACCUCGUGAUCCUCCCACCUUGGCCUCCCAAAGUGCUGGAAUUACAGGCAUGAGCCACUGUGCCCGGCAAGAAUUACUUCUUAAGGUGAUCACUUUGAGGAAUAUGGACAGAGAUUAAGAUUGAGAUUGACGGAGAAAGAGAAAUAUCCUAUCAAGAGCAAUAGAAGCAGAGACAGAGUGGCUCUGUGACUAGAAGGACUCCUGUGAUGGGCACGUGAACACGUAGGCUGGUCCCAGUAACUGCACCUCAGUGACCUUUCAGGCUCCAUGAGUCCUGAUUGCUAUGUGACAAUGUAUUCUAGCUUCCUGUGCAGCUUUACAAUAACCUCAGUAUCUGAGGUCACUUAUCUCUGUUCCUCUUCUGGCAAAAUAACCUAAUAAAAUACAU